rnacentral:rRNA from 1 species
CAUGAAGUUGGAAUUGCUAGUAAUCGCGAAUCAGAAUGUCGCGGUGAAUACGUUCCCGGGCCUUGUACACACCGCCCGUCACACCAUGAGAGUCGAUAACACCCGAAGCCUGUGAGCUAACCGCAAGGAGGCAGCAGUCGAAGGUGGGGUUGAUGAUUGGGGUGAAGUCGUAACAAGGUAUC